rnacentral:rRNA from 1 species
UAGCCGUAAACGAUACUCGCUAGGUGUCGGCCACGGUGCGACCGUUGUCGGUGCCGUAGGGAAGCCGUGAAGCGAGCCACCUGGGAAGUACGGCCGCAAGGCUGAAACUUAAAGGAAUUGGCGGGGGAGCACCACAGCGGGUGGAGCCUGCGGUUUAAUUGGACUCAACGCCGGGAAGCUCACCGGAUAAGACGGCGGAAUGAUUGCCGGGCUGAAGACCCUGCAUGACCAGCUGAGAGGAGGUGCAUGGCGUAGACGUCU